AUGGAAAUGAGGAUCCUUUCCCCGAAUGAUCGAAGCUGAUUCGAACUGUGCGAUUUGCUCUCCGGAGCCAAGCCAGAGAACUGAUCCAU
rfam:Marchantia polymorpha subsp. polymorpha scaffold725, whole genome shotgun sequence.